GACGAACGCUGGCGGUGUGCUUCACACAUGCAAGUCGAACGAGGUAGCAAUACCUAGUGGCGGACGGGUGAGUAACGCGUGGGAAUCUGCCUUUAGAUGGGGGAUAACGGGUCGAAAGACUCGCUAAUACCGCAUAUGACGAAAGUUGAAAGGAGUAAUCCGUCUAAAGAUGAGCCCGCGUCCGAUUAGCUAGUUGGUAGAGUAAAAGCCUACCAAGGCGACGAUCGGUAGCUGGUCUGAGAGGAUGAUCAGCCACAAUGGGAACUAGAGACACGGCCCAUACUCCUACGGGAGGCAGCAGUGGGAAUUUACGCAAUGGCGAAAGCCUGACGUAGCGACACCGCGUGAGCGAAGAAGCCCUUGGG
rnacentral:rRNA from 1 species